CCGAUAAGUAUUAAGUGGUGGAAAAAUCAAAAGCGGUAACGUCUUUUCCCUUUUCAAAAGUAGUUUUCAAACAAUUUUCAUUACUUUAUAUAACUUGUUUAGAUGCUAGAAGCUCUGAUAUUUGAAUUGGCAUAAAAUUCCCAAUAUUAUCACUACAUUUGGUUACUACUCUUAGAGCUCAUUUAUAAAGUGGAAAAAGCAUCUCAUAAGGAAAAUUCACUUAUUUUCUGAUUUUGUAUACUUUGGAAACACAACAGCAAAACUUCUGAAGAAGCACCAAUAUUUUCUCUGUAUAUAAAUCCACCGUAAAGCAUAUUUCUUUUGCGCAUAACUGGAUGCAACAGAAGUUAAAGAGUUUCUUCAAAUCAAGCUUCUCUUUGCAAUGAUUCUGUGUUAAUGGAAAGCUGUUCUGAGUAGGUAAUUUUCUAUGUUACAACUGCAGCACAUUUUUUGAAAGAAUACUCAAUAUAGAACUUACAGAAUGGAGAUUUGUAACACAACAAAUGAAAAGCAUUUGGUUAAUGAUCUGCAUCUUAAAGCAAUUGAUACUGAUACUAAUGUCAAAAAUGCAGCAACUAUUAAUAAGAAAUAUUUCUCGUGUGAUAUCUGUGGCAUGGAAUUUUCUCAGAAAGGGCUUUUGAAAAAACAUUCUCUUACACAUACAAAAGAAAAACUUUAUAUUUGUAUUAUGUGUACUAAAGAAUUUUCUUCAAAGUAUCAUUUAAAACGGCAUUGUCUAGUUCAUUCCAAUGAAAAACCCUAUUCUUGUGAAAUGUGUGAUAAAUCGUUUUAUUUUAAAUCUCAAUUAAAUGACCAUAAUAGAACUCAUACGAAGGAGAAACCCUAUUCUUGUGACAUAUGCAAUAAAGAUUUUUCUAUUAAAAGUAAUUUAAUUCGACAUCAUAAAACUCACACAAAGGAAAAACCACAUUCUUGUUUAAUCUGCGGUAAAGAGUUUUCUCGGAAAUGUAUUUUAAAUAAUCAUUAUCGAACUCAUACAAAGGAGAAACCCCAUUCCUGUAAUGUAUGUAAUAAAAAGUUUUCUCGGAAAGGGCAUUUAGAUGAGCAUUAUCGAACUCAUACGAAAGAAAAGCCAUAUUCUUGUGAAAUAUGCAAUCGCAACUUUUCUCUUCAAAGUAAUUUAUAUAAGCAUUAUUUAAUUCAUACAAAGGAACCACCCUGUUCUUGUUAAAAAUAUUCAUUUAUUAUUAAAUGCUCAUUUAAAAAGGUUUUAAAUGAGCAUUACCAAACUCAUACAAAGGAAAGGCUAUAUUCUUGUGAUAUAUGCAAUAAGAAUUUUUCUCAUAAAAGAAAUUUAAAUAGGCAUAUUUUAAUUCAUACAAAGUAAAGUACCUAUUCUUGCUGAAUUUACCUAUACACAUCAUUUACUUAUACAUACAAAUCAUUUACUUAUACAAAUCAUUACAGGAAAAAUUAUACUUGUAAUGUAUGCAAUAAAAACCUUUCUCAUAUAAUGAGUUUAAAAAAGCCUUGUAUUAUUAACACAAAUGAAAAAUUUUCUUCUUGUGAUGUUUGUUUUUUGAUUACUUAAAUUUGAUUUAGAGGGAUAUUUUAAAAUUAUUAAUGAAAAAGACACAUUCCUGUUAUAUAUGUGACAAAAUAUUUUCUCUGUAACUCUGAUUAAAUAAGUGUCAUUGUAGUCAUUCAGAUGAUAUUUGGGAAAGGAAUAGUUUGAAAAGGAUAGUUAAAAUUUGUAUUGUCGAAUUUCUGAAUUUAAUAAAAAAAAAAAUCUUGUUUUUAUGAUGUAUGCUGUAAAAAUGUUUGUAAUUAUUUUUAAGUUAUGAUUUUCAGUAUCAUGCAAAUGAAAUAAUUUAUAUCUCUUAAUGAAUAGUGGAAAUAAUUUUCUCAAUUAAAUGAACAUGUAUUGUUUUGUAAAAGCAAUGAAAAAUAAUAUUUAUGUUGUGAUGCAGGCAGUGAAGAAUGUAAUUUUUAGUAAUGUUAUUUGUAUUAGCAUUUUCUUUCUCGCAAAAAUGAAAAACAUUGUACUUAUGAUAUGUUUGCUAAGGUAUUGCUCUAAGCAAAUUGGCAUGAAUAAAUAUUACAUUUAUUCAAGUAGAAAAAUGUUAAAUGAUGUGUGCAUUAAGGAAUUUUGCUUCAAAAUUCAUUGUAACACUAUUUA